rnacentral:snRNA from 1 species
GGGUGUGAGGGCCCAUUGGUUGCCAUUGGUUGGUCUGAUCUGCCUGGCUACGUGUCCUAUUCCUCACUGCUCCAUGUGCAUUCAUCUUGAAUCUGCAUGCUCAGGUCAAGAGUAUAAUGAGUAGCAGUGUUUCCCUGAUAGAACGUCCAAACAGGGUCUUAAGAAGCUCAUUAUAGAUUGUGCAAUACAGUGUGCUGCUGUAUAGACCCUAACUAAGCCUUA